rnacentral:rRNA from 1 species
AUUGAACGCUGGCGGCAGGCCUAACACCUGCACGUCGAGCGAGCGGCGGACGGGUGAGUAAUGUCUGGGAAACUGCCUGAUGGAGGGGGAUAACUACUGGAAACGGUAGCUAAUACCGCAUACCAUCGGAUGUGCCCAGAUGGGAUUAGCUAGUAGGUGGGGUAACGGCUCACCUAGGCGACGAUCCCUAGCUGGUCUGCGAGGAUGACCAGCAACACUGGAACUGAGACACGGGCCAGACUCCUACGGGAGGCAGCAGGGGGGAAGUUUGGACAAUGGGCGCAAGCCUGAUGCAGCCAUGCCGCGUGUAUGAAGAAGGCCUUCGGGUUGUAAAGUACUUUCAGCGGGGAGGCGUUACCCGCAGAAGAAGCACCGGCUAACUCCGUGCCAGCAGCCGCGGUAAUAC